rnacentral:rRNA from 1 species
GGACCCGCACAAGUAGUGGAGCAUGUGGUUUAAUUCGAAGAUACGCGCAGAACCUUACCAACACUUGACAUGUUCGUCGCGACUCUAAGAGAUUAGAGUUUUCGGUUCGGCCGGACGAAACACAGGUGCUGCAUGGCUGUCGUCAGCUCGUGUCGUGAGAUGUUGGGUUAAGUCCCGCAACGAGCGCAACCCUCACUUUUAGUUGCCAUCAUUAAGUUGGGCACUCUGAAAGAACUGCCAGUGAUAAGCUGGAGGAAGGUGGGGAUGACGUCAAGUCCUCAUGGCCCUUACGUGUUGGGCUACACACGUGCUACAAUGGUAUCUACAACAGGAAGCAAGACUGCGAAGUUAAGCAAAUCCCUAAAAGAUACCUCAGUUCGGAUUGGAGUCUGCAACUCGACUCUAUGAAGCUGGAAUCGCUAGUAA